CCUACGGGUGGCAUCAGUGAGGAAUAUUGGUCAAUGGCCGUAAGGCUGAACCAGCCAAGUCGCGUGAAGGAUGAAGGCUCUAUGGGUUGUAAACUGCUUUUAUAGGGGGAUAAAAGUCGCCACGUGUGGAUAUUUGCAUGUACCCUAUGAAUAAGCACCGGCUAACUCCGUGCCAGCAGCCGCGGUAAUACGGAGGAUGCGAGCGUUAUCCGGAUUUAUUGGGUUUAAAGGGUGCGUAGGUUGUUUUUUAAGUCAGCGGUGAAAGUUUGUGGCUCAACCAUAAAAUUGCCGUUGGAACUGGCAGACUUGAGUGUGUUUGACGUAGGCGGAAUGCGUGGUGUAGCGGUGAAAUGCAUAGAUAUCACGCAGAACUCCGAUUGCGAAGGCAGCAUACUAAGCCGUAACUGACACUGAAGCACGAAGGCGUGGGGAUCGAACAGGAUUAGAUACCCCUGUAGUC
rnacentral:rRNA from 1 species